rnacentral:lncRNA from 1 species
CACUCUUUAAUAACCUUUCUAUUUUUACAAUUAGAGCAAGGACAUCUUAACAUACCUGUUUUUGCUUCCGGUUAUCGGUGAACUAACCCCAUGAAUUCGGUUAUACCUCGUUGGUAUUCUUCCGUAAGCAAUCUCGUGUUCGGAUCCAAAUGAGGUCGAUCGAUCCAAGAACGAAAAUAAUUUGAAGAAGACAUGUUUU